rnacentral:rRNA from 1 species
CUGGGCUUGACAUGUGGGAUGAAACCGUAGAGAUACGGCGCUCCUCGGAGCCCGCACAGGUGGUGCAUGGCUGUCGUCAGCUCGUGCCGUGAGGUGUUGCCUUAAGUGGCGCAACGAGCGCAACCCCUGUCCUUAGUUGCCAGCGGGUCAAGCCGGGAACUCUAGGGAGACUGCCGGUGCCAAACCGGAGGAAGGUGGGGAUGAGGUCAAGUCAUCAUGCCCCUUAUGUCCAGGGCUGCACACAUGCUACAAUGCGCGAUACAGAGGGUUGCGAUCCCGCAAGGGGGAGCGAAUCCCAAAAAGUCGCGCUCAGUUCGGAUCGGGGUCUGCAACUCGACCCCGUGAAGUCGGAGUCGCUAGUAAUCGCAGAUCAGCAAUGCUGCGGUGAAUACGUUCCC